UACAGAGGGUGCGAGCGUUAAUCGGAAUUACUGGGCGUAAAGGGUGCGUAGGUGGUUUGAUUAGUUAGGCGUGAAAGUCCUGGGCUUAACCUGGGGACUGCGCCUAAUACUGUCAAGCUAGAGUACUGUAGAGGAAGGUAGAAUUUCCAGUGUAGCGGUGAAAUGCGUAGAUAUUGGAAGGAAUACCUGUGGCGAAGGCGACCUUCUGGACAGAUACUGACACUGAGGCACGAAAGCGUGGGGAGCAAACAGG
rnacentral:rRNA from 1 species